rnacentral:tRNA from 3 species
GCGGAUAUGGUGAAACUGGUAGACACGCUGAUUUCAGGUGUCAGUGAGGCGACUCGUGCAGGUUCGAAUCCUGUUAUCCGCA